UGGGUAAGUCCAUCUGAAUUAAGGAGGCCGUUGUACCCCCCCUGGCGACAGGACUAAUUUCCCUGGUAACACAUAAAAAAUUCGCAAUUGAAUAAAAAUGGUAUACAUUUUUAUCUUAAUUUUCAAUUGGAAAUAUUGAUAAUUAAUUAUUAAAGAUUGUCGAUCUCUUGUCCCGACAAAUUUACAGCCUCGUUUCUUUAGUCGGACAACGUAAAUAUGUUAAUUAUGGCAGGUUAUGUUUUGCGAUUACAAAAUUUCGGACACCAAUAACAAGUGAUAUAUUGGAGGGUCCUUUAUCCAAAUAUAGCACUGUCCGACAAAAAUUGGGUAUCAGAUAGCCCAGUCCGACAAAUUAAUUUCAAAACUUUUUAUACCGUAACCGCCGCGCUACUAGCCACACGGGUGGAUUGAGCUAAUACAGUCCUGGACCCUUCACACUUGUUGCACUGUUUACUUUUAUGUCUAGAACGUCAGAAAAUGUAUAGAAACCAACGAACUGUCAACACUGAUGGAAUCGCCAUGAAGCGAACUUAAUGCCUUCAGGAUGAGAUAGAAGAUAAUCAGGUAAAGGAGGGAAGAUAAUCGCCAUCUUUCGUAAACAAAACAAAUUGACAGUGCUAGUCAGGGUUGUCAGAUUGGGGUAUUCAAUUUUGAGGUAAUUUAAAAGCGUAUAGGGGAACUUCUCUAAGCAGAAAUGGUUGGGAGAUUUUUUGGGGUGAAAAUUAUGGAAGAUUUUAAGGGGUCAUGGGAAAUUAAAUUUGCGAAUUUACACAUAGAACUGUAUAUUAUACUCUCAUAUAAUCGAAGAAGAUAGGACCUAUGAAUUAUUUCCAGGGCCCUCUGUUGAUAAGUAGUAUAAUUUUUGUUUACUGUUCUCUACAUUUGAUUACUCAUUUAUUAAAAUGCGGCAAAAAUUUAAAUUUGGGUGAUUUGAGCUUCAAUUUGAGGGAAUUUCAGUUUCUAAGUGGGGGAUUUAUAAAAUCACAUCUGGCAACUCGGGUGGUAGUUGCAGCAAAUUUUACCUGAAAAAUUCUCUGUCUCUCUAGGACCUCUCUCUUGUAUGUUACAGGCAAUCUCGCUUCACUGUUUGAAUGGGACGGGGCCAUUCCAUUAAAACCGAAUGUAAACAUAACCUCAUUACUAGACGUUUCAUAUCCAAACAAAGCGUUGUCAUGAAGCAUCUAUACUAGAGGUACAGUUGAGUCCGGUAAUCUUUACCUGUGCGUCAUAAUUUAAAGCAUACGAAAUAAGACGAUGAUAAGUCGGAAAUUGAAAUUUACUAAACGCAUCAGCAAGUCACUUGCUGUUGCGUUUAGUAAAUUUCAAUUUCCGACUUAUCAUCGACUUAUUUCGUAUGCUUUAAAUGAUGACGCACGGGUAAAGAUUCCCGGCCUCAACUGUAGGUAGCUGAUUUGUGACGAUACCGACAAAGUAUAAGUAGACUACCACUGUUUAAAAAUAAUUUUGUUUUUUAUAAGUUUGCGUCAUUUUUUUUAUCGGACAAUUACAUUUUUAAUAACCAUGUAUUAUUUGAACGUUAAAAAAAUUAAAAUUAUGACUUUUGUAAUCGCAAAACAUUACCUGCCAUAAUUAACAUAUUUACGUUGUCCGACUAAAAAAACGAGGCUGUAAAUUUUUCGGACAAGAGAUCGACAAUCUUUAGUAAUUAAUUAUCAAUAUAGGGGAGUACAAUUAGAACGAAGACAUGCAUUGUUUCGGAAAAAUUCAAACAAGCUUAUAUUUUUCUAAAACUUUUUUUGUUAGUUUAUAUACAUGUUAAAGUAAACAGUUCUUCUCGCAGAUUUGGCCGCUAAUUGUUUAUUAAUUGUUUAAACAAUAACAAUUGUUUUGUAUAAAUAAUUUUAAAAAUAUCGUUCAAUUCAUAAUUUUACUUUGAUUAAAUAUGUUUCUAUUUUGUUUCUGAUUAUGCCGAAUCCGAAUAUGGCAUUGCAAUUUGAAAAUUCUUUUACAGAAGCUCUUAUACAGUGUGUCUGCGUAGCUAGGAACCACAUGGAACACUUUUUUAUUAUCAAUUUUACGAAAAAAAGUUAUUAUUCUUAAUGAAAGGCUCUGAAUAGUCAAAAAUCUAAAACUCAACCAUCAGAUAUCAAAUUUUAUCAAUUUUGUAGGAGUUAUGUCAAAAAUAUGAAUUUCGUUAAACAGUAAAGUACCUUUAUAUUCCAACAUAUCAAAAAAUGCUAUUAUGAAAAGUUGUUUGAAAUUAGAAACUAUGUCUAAAUAUACAAUUAUAUCAUUCCAAUCGAAAAAAAAAAAAAUUAAAUUUUUUCUCAAAUUACGGAUACUCAUCAUCAUUUUAUUACAAUUAUGAUAACUAUUUUAUUAUCACUUUUACGAAAAAAAGUUAUUUUUUAUAAAAUGUUCUAAAAUCUAAGAUACAACCAUCAGACAUCAAACUUUUUAAUUUUAUAAUAUGUAAAAAAUAUGAAUUUUUCUUAAGAGCUAAGUGCCUUUAUUAUUCACAAUAUUUUAAUUAGAAUGAUGUAAUUGAAUACUAAAACAAAUUUUUUAAUUCCAAACAACUUUUUUUAAUAACAAUUUUCGAUAGUGUGAAAUGUAAUGGUACUUUACUCUUGAGUGAAAUUCAUAUUUUUUGACAUACCUCGUAUAACAUUAAUUAAAUUUGAUAUUUGAUGAUUGCGUCUUAGAUUAUAUACGAUGCAAAGUAUUUUAUAAAUAAUAACUUUUUUUCGUAAAACUGAUAAUAAAAAAGUUAUCAAUAGGUUCCAAGUUACGCAGACAUACUGUAUAAGAGCUAAAAAAAUUUUUUUUGCUGAACGUUUAUUAUUAUUGAAGCUUAUUAUUAAAUGUAUUUUAGGUAAGUUUUACAGAAAAAAGUUUUGAUCACUUUGUACAAACAUUUUUUAGCUGGUAAUUUUCGGUUUUUGUCUUACAUUUUUGUUAUCUUUCUUAAUUUUUUUAAAAAGAAAUAGUUUAUUUCAUUUCUAAAGUAAAAUAAUUUAGUACAUUUUAGAGAUUACAUCCUAAGCUUUAAAAAAGCACUUAUAAAACUGUAAUAGAUCUGUUCAAACUUGAGUAAUACCGUCUUAAAGUGGUGAUAAUUCUAUAAAACUACGAAGAUUUCAAAAAUUACAUUUUUUGAGACGUCAUAUCAUUUGAAUUAAAUUAUUGAGAUUUUUUUUAAUGAAACAUCAUUUAGUAAGAUGCUUGAAAGGUAAGUUGUGCAAAACUGAGAGUGUUAUAAGAAAAACUGUAUGAUCAACUAUUUUUAAUGGGAAAUACGCCACAAUUUUACCAAUUUGGGCUUCGAAAUGUUAAUAAAAUCAUUUUUUUGGUAAAAUUGUGGCUUAUUUUCCAUUAAAAAUAGUUGAUUAUAAAAAUGUCACAAGGAAAUAGCUUCAGAACAACAUUAAAAAACUAUUAGUUACACAUUUUUAAACAAAAUUCAUGUAAGGCACCCUUUUCGCCCACACCGUAGUUAUGCCCAUACAUUUUAUUUUUUUCUAUUAUAACCAUAAGAUAGCUUAAUUAUUCUUCUUUCGCGGAAACGCGUCCAACCUGCACUCAGACUCUUGGUGGUAGACUUGCUCAAACGAAGCAAUUACAUAAAACCAUUUUUAAGACUUUUGUUUUGUAAUCAUUUUUGAAAAAGGACGAUGUACUGUGGAGUAACAAUAUAAGUGAAUAGAGGGUGACUUGUUUUGUAAUCUAUCUAGACACUAAUGGUCUAUAUUGUUCACUUUUAUAAUUAACGUCGAAACGGUCUUUUAAGCAGCAUUUUCAAUUAUGAAAUCACGAUAAAGUUGAAGCUCUGGUGCUCCUGGGUUUGACUAUUCAAUCCUCAGGUCUGACUUAACGCCUUCUUAGUCAAAGCCCAAGUAAAUGACGUUAAACGGCCUUUAAAUAAUUUUUGUCAAACCUAGGAGAGACUAAUUUGGCCAGGCAAACGUCGAAACUUAAUUUCAUGAAAUGGGGCUUUGACCAGUCAAACUCCAAUCGGGUAUUAAAAUAUCAUAAUUUGUUAGAUUAGGUUUAAUAAAACGUAAUUUUUUUAUUUUAAUGUUUAUUGUUUAUAUAUUUUCGUAAUUAAAAUAAAAAAUGAGUCUUUAUUCUCACUAGUCCUGUCGUCAGUGGGGAUACAACGGCCUCCUUAAUUCAAAUGGACUUAAUCAAGUUUUUUUUAUGUAUUUUGACCAGUAGAACACGAAUUUUUUGGGUAACAGUCGAUCCGGAUGUCGAUAAGAUUGUUAUAAACAAAGAACUUGAGGAAUCACAUAACAGCGAUUUUUUGCAAAACAAAACACUUUUUUGUAUUUUUUUGGGUCAUUCUAAGCAAAAAAUGUUUUUACAAGUUUUUUCGUAGGAUGCAUAGUUUUCGACAUAAGCGCGAUUGAACUUUCAAAAAAUCGAAAAAUUGCAAUUUUUAAACCCGAAUAACUUUUGAUUGAAAAAUAAAAUAGCAAUUCUGCUUACCGCAUUUGAAAGUUCAUGUCAAAUUCUAUCGGUUUUGAUUACUUUCAUUGCUAAAAAAUAAUUUUUUAUUGUUAAUCAAAGCUAUAAACACGUAGUGAUUGAAUGAUGUUUUCAAUGCAUUUCUCAUUUGAAAUCGAACGAGUAGGCGCGCAUACAGACAAUUUCUACGUAGAUUACGUACAUUAAAACGCAUGCAUUGGGCACGGGAAACACUAUGUGUUUAUGGCUUUGUU